AAGAAAGGAAGAUCUAAAAGAAGCUAUUCCACCAUUGGGUCUUAGAGUGCAAUUCCGGGAAAAGCUGCUCAUAUAGAAAAAGCAAACAGAAUAUUAUUACAUGCCCCGCGAAGGGAAAAAAAAUCCAAGUGGAAAAUUUUACUAUAAGUUUGUCAACUGUCGGCAACUGGCAAAAGACAUUUUCUUCCCUCACCUUGCAUCGACGACAGUGCAUUAAAUACCACCUCGUCUGAAGUAAAUGAAUUAGAUGAUUCAGUUAUAAAUGCAUUGAAAACGUCACUUAGCAGAGAAAGCGCGAAUUGGAACGAAGUUUGUGACAAGUGGUCAAAAACAUUCCAAGCCAGACAGUACGAUCUGAGAAGCUUAACAAACAUCGACUUUUUAAAAGCAUGGCCCAAACUAUCAGAUUCAAGAGCACCUGAACUGAUCAAAAUAGAUUUCAAUCUCCUGUAUCCAUCGAAGCAAGACUUGUAUUCAAAAUGGGAGCACUUCAAAUUAAACAUUCUGCGCUUUUACGAAACUCGCAUAAGUAAUGAAAAUUGCAAACAAAUGUUUUUAUUGGCAAAGUCCUUAAAACACAUAGACACUCAGGAUUGCCUAAUUUCGACAUUGCUAAUUUCAGUACUGCAAACCGCUUCAAGAUUUGUUAACACUACGGGAAAAUUUACCAAGAAAAUCACUAUUGUCGAUGCACAGGAGAGCUUCAUAUUGCGUCAGGAAUCAGUAAAUGACUAUCAAAGAAGAGUUGACGAAAUCAUUUGCAAGUAUUAUUCUGCUAAAACAACGAUUCAGCCAUUUUUAAUAGUAGUAGGACCUGAAAAUGAGCUUAAAGAUUUUUUUUAGUUAUUUUGACAAUACGUUAUACAAAUUCAACUCAUUUAUUGAGAGCUUAGACUUGUGCUUUAAAAUAUUUCAUGUUUUUUCCUUAAAUAUCCUCAAGGAUGUGAAUUAGUGUGGGUCUUUAUACAAAACUACUUUUAUGACAUAACAACAGAGUUCGAUUCCAAAUCAUAGAAUAUAGUUUCACUUAUAAACUUCUUAAAAACUGCUUAGUGCUUAAAUUGUUAUUUAACGCAAUUUAUAAUUUUGCAUUUAUAUGUAAUUUAAUUCUGGACUGCCAAUGUUUGUUUGUUUUAAGUGUCGUAAAAAAUUUUCUGAAUCAAUGGUUUUAAUUCAUCACUUUAAAUUUAAUCAUUUAUUGACAACAAAAUUUCUAAAGCUUAAAUGUGUUCAAAAUGAUUGUAAUCAAGUGUUUACUAAUUUUUCCUCCUUUAGAAAUCAUGAAGGUGGCUUAGAGGAAGAAGUAGAAUGUGGUACUGUCAGACCUAUAAAUUUAACAAAAGUUGACUACUUUUUAAAAAUAGUACAAACUGAAAACAUUGAUUAUAGAAACGUUAACGUUUUAGAAGAAGCUAUAUAUCAAGGUACAAAAUAUAAAACCGGUUAUUACUUGGCUUACAAUGACAAUGGGCUAACUCUAUGUAAAAUAUAGAAUUUUCUGUAUCAAUCCUCAAAUCUAUAUGUUUUAUGUAACCCAAUUAUUCUAAAAUCAUUUAGUUCCCAUUUUCAAUCAUAUGAAGUGGGAAAUAGAAUUGAUGAAAUUCGAAUUAUAAAAAUAUCACUUAUUGUAGAAUUAAACAGACUUAACUUUUUUACAUACCGUCAUGCUCAACUAAAUAAGUAAGUGACAUUUUGGCCAGUUUGGCUAUGUUUCUCCUGUUUACAAAAAUAAUAAACAUUAAAUAUUAUUUUUGUAGAAAAGUCUAGCUCAU